ACUUCCCCUUGGCUCUUCCCCCUCCCUCCAACCUGAGCCCCUCAUCCCAUGGAGGACCCUCCCUUCACUCCACUCACUUAGAGGCUGUUCUCACGUUGAUAUCCAAGUCACCCUUGAACACAAACUGACCAGGUUUCCAAUGAAAAGACAGGUGGCUCCACUCCCAGUGCAUAUUUUCAGUUGUGUUGUAUGGAUCCUAUGACCACCCCCGAGAAUUUGGUGAGAUAUAGUGAAAGUCAUGGUAGAAUUUGAGUGGGGGCAUGUUCCUCUCCACUGCCACGUUACCCCACGGAAGCCCCAAGUGCAAGAUCUGACGCCGACGGGAGCAAGGCUGACCACUCUGCUCGGUGCCCACAAGUCGACCCAUUAGCCGCCAGUCACGGAUCUCAAACAGGGGGAAAAGGGCUGCCUGGAUCAAGCUCUUGAACCUGUUCUACCACAUGCUCAGGACCAUGGAAGGAGGCAUCUGCCAGAGCUACCAGUUCUAGCCCUGCUAAGCUCCAAGUAAGCAGUGCCCGGCGCAUGGGUGUGUUGCCAUAGAGACGACGGGAA
ensembl:lncRNA novel transcript, antisense to KIAA0100